GACUUGGACCACUCAAAAUCGUCGGACGUGCCCCGUUUAACAUCGAACUUACGUACACUCGACUUCCGUCACUCUAUCAAGCACCUCGUGAUUGUGGAAGGCGGGGACCACCCACCAUAACUAAAGGCCCAAAAAAGUAAGACGGAAUCAUUGAGCCGGUAAACACUAGACAGGGGCUCGAGAAAAAACAUAAAAUACAAUAUGAAAAAUGUUACAACCAUUUGAACUGUCGCUAAGUGUCGAAGUCUGAAUGGUGGAGCCAUCGUCGUUGAUCUGGACACCACGAAUUCUCCCAUUAUUUUGUUCAUAUGUUCACUCACCGCCACCGCAUCCAACAGUCCAAAUUUUCAGGACCAUAAAAUUAAAAUGAUCGGACGACCUUUAAAAGUUAAAAGAUUUCCUUAUUUUUGUUGUCGAAAAUUCAAAGCAGUUUUGGGCUAUGUGUUGCUGACUCAUGCAUCCCAUCCCAAUCCGUUGCUCGUUUGGAAAAAGCCUCCGGCUCUUUUUCUGACGUGGCCCGAAUAUUCUCUACCAUAAGGCCUAUAGUUAUCUGCCAUGUCACUACUAUCAAAUUAAACCCUU
rnacentral:lncRNA from 1 species